UCAGUAGCUCUCUAGGCCUGGGUACCGGAGGGAGGGAGGCGGGCAGAGGAGGGGAGAUGGGCACCCCCAGUCUUUCCAUCCUCCUCAUUCGUCUAGGGGCACCCGAAUCCCCUAUUCCUUAUUUCCCCUAUCACUCAGGCACUGGCAGGGUCCUUUGCCCACUCCUGUUGGCCGCUGCGGCUCCAAAGCGAGAUGUGCCUGAGACAGGUUUGACCAGGCAACUGAAAAGACAUCCCUAAGAGAAGACAAAGCAAAGGUAUGAAAGGAACACACGUCCCUGACUGACUAGGAGGAACAGAGCUGCCUGCUAUCUGGAACAACUUCCUCCCAGACUAAGUGAGAAAUAAACUUCUGUUUUCUAUA
rnacentral:lncRNA from 1 species